rnacentral:rRNA from 2 species
ACGGAAGGCAGCAGUGGGGAAUAUUGCACAAUGGGCGAAAGCCUGAUGCAGCGACGCCGCGUGAGUGAAGAAGUAUCUCGGUAUGUAAAGCUCUAUCAGCAGGGAAGAAAAUGACGGUACCUGACUAAGAAGCCCCGGCUAACUACGUGCCAGCAGCCGCGGUAAUACGUAGGGGGCAAGCGUUAUCCGGAUUUACUGGGUGUAAAGGGAGCGUAGACGGUUUGGCAAGUCUGAAGUGAAAUGCGGGGGCUCAACUCCUGAACUGCUUUGGAAACUGUCGAACUAGAGUGCAGGAGAGGUAAGUGGAAUUCCUAGUGUAGCGGUGAAAUGCGCAGAUAUUAGGAGGAACACCAGUGGCGAAGGCGGCUUACUGGACUGUAACUGACGUUGAGGCUCGAAAGCGUGGGGAGCAAACAGGAUUAGAUACCCUGGUA